rnacentral:lncRNA from 10 species
AAAAAAGUUGAGUGAAAGAUGCCAGACACAAAGAGUAAAUACCUGUAUUUGUCUCUUAUUGCUUCUGUAACAAAUGACCCCAAAUUUAAUGGGCUUGAAACAACACAAAUUUAUUAUUUUAUAAUUCUGUAGAAGUCUGACAAGGAUCACUGGCUAAAGUCAAAGCAUUGGUAGAAGCUGUGUUCCUUCUGGAGGUUCCAGGGGAGUAUCUGUUUCCUUGUCUUUUGCACCUUCUAGAGGCCACCCCAUAGUCCUUGGCUCAUGGCCUCUUUGUCAAUCUUCAAAGUCAGCAACAGAAGGUGGAGUCUUUUUCACAUCCCAUCACUCUUACCUUUUCCACCUCCCUCUUAUAAAGGACUCUUCUGCUUAAACUGGGCACACUGAAUAAUACAGCAUAAUCUCCCUGUCUCAAUGUCUUUAACUAAAUCACAUCUGCAAAGUCCCUUAUGUUGGGCAAGGUAACAUAUUCAGAGAUUCUGGGGGUUAGGAUGUGGAUAUCUUUAGUGGUUAUGAUUCUAUCACAGCACUGCAUGAUUCCAUUUUAUAUAAAGUUCAUGGCCAGGUGCAGUGGCUCACGCCUGUAAUCCCAGCACUUUGGGAGGCCGAGGCAGGCAGAUCACGAGGUCAGGAGAUCGAGACCAUUCUGGCUAACACGGUGAAACCCCGACUCUACUAAAAAAAUAAAAAAUAAAUUAGCUGGGCGUGGUGGCAGGCACCUGUAGUCCCAGCUACUCAGGAGGCUGAGGCAGGCGAAUGGCGUGAACUGGGUAGGUGGAGCUUGCAGUGAGCCGAGAUUGCGCCACUGCACUCCAGUCUGGGUGACAGAGCGAGACUCUGUCUCAAAAAAUAAAAAUAAAAAUAAAGUUCAUGUGUCUGGAAUCCCAGCUACUCGGAAGGGUGAGGCAAGAGGAUCACUAGAGGCCAUGAGUUUGAGACGAGCCUGGGCAUCACAGCCACCCUCUGUCUCUAUAAAAUAUAAAUAAUAAUAAAGUUAAAAACUGGCAAAAUGAAUCAAGAUAGUGUUUGGCUUUGGGAAGGCUUGUGCCACCACACCCAGCUGAUCUUUUUUCUUUUUUUUUUUUUACGAUUGUGGUGAAACACACAUAAGAUUUACCAUUUACCAUUUUUGAGUGUACAGUUUAGUGGUAUUCAAUACAUUUAUAACGUACAACUAUCACCACCAUCCAUCUCCGUAGCUAUUUUCAUCUUGUAAAACUGAAACUCUGUACCAUUAAACACUAACUCCCAUUCAGGAGAAUUCUAUCUCCUGAGCUGGGUGCUGGUUACACAGGUGUGUUCACUUUGUGAAAAUUCACCCAACUGUACACUUAAGAUGUGUGCACUAUUCUGAAGAUAUAUUAUACUUUGAUAAAAUAGUUUAUUUACUAAAGAAGAAGCCAGGCACAGUGGGUCACGCCUGUAAUCCUAGCACUUUGGGAGGCCGAGGCGGGCGGAUCACUUGAGCUCAGGAGUUCUAGAUCAGCCUUGCCAACACGGCGAAACCCCAUCUCUACCAAAAAUACAAAAAUUAGACAGACAUGGUGGUGCACGCCUGUAAUCCCACCUACUCAGGAGGCUGAGGCAGGAGAAUCAUUUGAACCCGGGAGGCAGAGGUUGCAGUGAGCUGAGAUGGCCCCACUGCACUCCAGCCUGGGCAACAGAGUGAGACUCUGUCUCUAAAAUAAAAUAAAAUAGCAUAACAUAACAUAACAUAACAUAACAUAACAUAACAUAACAUAACAUAACAUAACAUAAAAUAAAUAGAAGAAAAACACCCUAUGACUGGCCUAAACUCUUCCGUGAGGAGGAAAAUCAGGUCUGCCUUCAAGGAGGAAAUUCUUCAGCCUCCAUGAGCUACAGGUCAACAAGCCCCGGAUCCAUUUCCAGCCUUUUCCUGUGAUGUAGUCAAGCAGGGUAGAGAGCCGACCCAGGGGUGGCAAGUACAGACCACCUGACCUGACCUUGGUAACCCAGGACCUGGCACCUCACCUGAGUGUCAGGAAACCUAUUUCGUGGUGUUCCUUGCCGCGGGCAUCAAAACACGGCGCUGAUGGCAAAGAUUCCCCGGUGGGCUCGAUGUCCACCAAGCCUUGGGCACUGUGAAGCCCUGGAGUCUUGUGACCCCGGCGGCCGAGAGCACUUCCCUGCGUGCAGCCCAGGCUCCCAGAGCUCCCUAGCACCUCCAGCCCAGGUUCUGGAUGGGGGAACGGGGCACAGGCAGGGGACCCCGGGAGCGCCCGGCCACCGCGCGAAGAUGGCCAGGCCCUCCCAGCGAGC